AUUGCCACUUUAUUUUGCUUUCUCUUUCCUUAAAUUCAGAUUUUGGCCCAUGAUUCAAGGACCAGCUGGAGUCCUAACAGAGGCAGGACAGCUUGAGAUGGAUGAGAAACACAGGGAUCACAAUCACUGACCAAAGUUUGCUUAACUUCAAAAUGCAGGGCUAAAAUGUUACACUCAAAACAUACUCACUCUAUUGCUGUUAAAAAUCUUUUGGGGCCCUCCACUUGAGGGUGUAACACAAAGCUGAACAACUCUAGAAGGUGAAACAGCUUUACUCCAAGAUGUAUAAGAUGGUGACCAAAAACUGUACAAGUCUUCAAUCUAGGAAUUAAUAUUGGCUGCCCUGGAAUUGGAUUAAAAAAGCUCACUGCUAACCCAAAGGAUUAAUAACAGCUCUAAAAACUAAUACAUUAGGAAACACCAGUUUUCCAAUGCAGUAAAAUAUUUCAUUGCAGGCAGUUCCUGAAGGGUCAGAUUUAGAAGCCUGGUAACCAAAGUGCUGGUUUCCUCCAUUUUAAUUCCAACUUUGCAGCUGCUGAGGGAACAGGAAGAGUUUGAAACCCUGGCCUUCAGACACCAGGAGUCAGCCACCUGCAGGACCAGGGAAGGUUGGGUUCCCAGAGAUGGCUCAGGGUCUUAUCAUUUGACUCAGUUACAAAAACACAUGAGAAAUUAUGAGAAAGCUUAUAAGUGGAUGCCAGGGUGUCCCAUGCUUAACUGGAUUGUAUCAGCAAGGUGGGACAACAUACUCUCUGGGGUUUCACUGUUGCAGGGUGUGAUUAUUCUAAUCUGUCUGUAGUGAAACAAAACCAAAUAUUUCCCAGUCUUUGCUGCCUGAGGAAACAUAAAAGAGUAGUAGCCAACAAUACUCAGUAUUAGUUCUGUGAUUGUACUGAGGAAAAGGCUAGAUGAGCUGCUGGAGUCAGUCUCACAUACAGCUUGCUCCUGCCAAAAAGGACAGUGCUGCUCUCUUCUGCCCUCUCUGAGGCAUAGGCAUCUGAUCCUGCCCCUCUACUUAUCCCCGGGCCUGACCUGACAUGUUCCUGAGGCACUUUCAGAUUGAUAAAGUGGCAAAAAAAAUAUUCACUUUGCUCUUUGUUACUUUCUGUCCACCCAUUGAGCUGAAUCAGCUCCCCACAGGGUCAGAUGAGCACAAGACCUGGAGAGGAUGAGGCUGCAGGGAUGCAAACCUGGUGAGAGGGCCACACUAAUCUUUUCAGCAGCUGCAAAUUAUUGGAUUGGGUCAGCAUAUCUGUUAGACUCACACCUCUGGGACCAUCAGUUCUGCUGUUGCCAAUGUGAUUAAAACCACAAGCAAGAACAAACAUAAACAAUGGGCAAUCAAAGAGAAACCAAAGCAGAAGUGUGCAUACAUACUUCUGUGAAAGAUGGAGAGGAGAAACUGGGAUAUGGGAAGUCCAUGGUGAGAAGCAGCAAUAUUUGAUGAUUUGAUGAACUAUGACUUGUCUAUCAACCAGUAGAAAUAGAGGACCAAAUAAAUUCUUCCAGGCAUUAUGUUUUGGGCCAAUAUUCAGAAUAUUCAGAAAUAUUCAGAAUAUUCAGAAAUAUUCAGAAAGAAAGCUGAGCUGGAUAGAAAACAUCCAAAUACAAAAUACAAAAUACAACACAAGCAUAGGAAGCAUAAACAAUGUGUAAACUGGUCUGUGCCUGCAGAGUACCUGCAGGUAAUAAGUAAUGACAGUUAUUAACAACAACAAAAACAAUAAUAAUAAUAAUUUGAAGAGUCUGCUAGCAGAAUUUCUCACCCACUAUUCUUUAAAUAGUGGUGUUAACACUUUUCUUCUUGUCAUAUGCACCAUAAUGGUAUGUGUUCAUGUGACUGUCUAUUCUGAUUCUUGUAUUCAUAAGCUCCAUUUUUUAAAAAGUCAAAUGCUACUUUGAAAAUUAUCUGUACCAGCUCUAAUGAGUGUUUCAAUGAUUCAAAUAUUUAAGUCCUUCCUUCAAGGCCGGAUUCCUGAAGAUGGUCUUCAGUGGGACUCUCAUUUUAAAAGAUCUGGAGACCCUGAGAUGUAUUUCAGCGUUGAAAUGAAUGGUAGACAAGCAUUCAAAUGGGAUUUUUUGGGGAUCUGGCUGUAGUGCCUAGGAAAUUGAUUUCAUCCAAAAAUUAUGCUGUUUAAACCAUGCCAUAAGAAGUGCUGUUGCACAGGCAUAGGCUUUUCCUAUAGAAGAAGACAAGUAAGAUAUAACAUCCCAAAGCACUUUUACCCAAAUGCGCGGGUAUCAGUUGUGGCUGCACAAGGGAGGGACACUUUAUUUUCUGCCCCUCAGACACCUGUGUAUCUUCAGGCACGGUGUGCAGUGUACAGUGUAAGGUGUACGGGAUGGGCUCUGCGGUGUGGGGUGUGCGGUGUGGGCGUGCGAAGGGGACUGUCGCCACCUCCCGGGCAUGAGCGCUGCAGCUGAGGACAGGAGGCCCCGUACUGGCAUGUGCUCCUCACUUCUGAUCCAGAGGGGGCUGAUACCGGGAGAGGGAUGAAGAGUACAGCUUUGUGGGUUUCAUUUCAUCUUCAAAGGGUGAAAUUUUCUGGGAGAGGCUCUCACAGCUGCUGUGGGCACAGACUGAGAAAACACCAUCGUAUCUUGGAUAUAGAGACUCAACUCCAUGGUCUUAAAUAUCUGAGCUGCCCUAACAGGGAACAAGCCAUGGAGAAAGUCACUGAGGACUGUGGGCUGCUGGCUCUGUGUUCAGACUGGCACCUUCAAGACUGCUGGCCAGAGUCAUUGAGGGAGCCAGUGAGCCCUGAGCUGCUGCUGUGAGAAAGGCUAAGGUCCAGCACCAGGCAGAGAGGCAGCCUCGAGGCAGGGAACUUAGCAAUGCAUCCUGGAAAGACAUGGAAUGAGGUGAGGAGAUGCAACUCGAAGCCUAUGCACAGCUGCAGAGCUGUAGGAAUCUAAUUAACUCAGCUCCCUCCUCCUGCUUAAUGAGGAGUGCCCCUGAGCCGGUUCACCGACCUCCGAGCUGUUUUUUCCAGAGCCCUUGCAGAGCUUCACAGUGGCCAGAGCACCUCUCCUCUGCCAGAGGCUCUUGUGCCUUUCCUCAUAAUCCUUCCUCUGUGCGAGGAGUGGCAAAGAGUCUGGAAAAGCUUUCUUGGAGGGCUUCUGGGCACAGCUUGUGCUACCCAAAAUCCUUGGAAGAGGAAACACAUCAUGAUGCUGCAAAGACACCUUUGUCCCUCUCAGAUGCGUGACACAGUAGAGCCCUACAUGCUGCUUGCUGUCACACCUUUUAGUGAUAGGCACCUGUUAAAUGAAAAUCUGAGGGCAUUUUACCUUCCAUAGCAGGGGAAAUGACAUGCUAGAGAGUGACCACAGGAGCCCUUGGCUCCUCAUAUCUGCUGGAAAAAGCGCUUGGGAUGCUGUACUUCUCUUCACAGAGGAAAGACCCUGAUGGGGCUCCUUGAUGGCUAUCCCUGCUGUGGGGAUUUGCAUUGAAGAGCAGGAAGGAGCAGAGGGUUUGUUCGGCAUCACUGUACCCUGACAUCUGAGUCCCACUGAGGAGUGGCAGGUCCCUCCAGCCAUGCUGGUGGCACAGCUGAGUGGCUGUAGCACUAGCUUGAAGACCCAGGCCUCAGGAGCUCACCUGCUGAAAUAAGAGAUGGGAUUUAGCCUCCCUGUCCUUAGAGUACAUAUUUCUUUACAGAUGCAUAGAUUUCUGAGUCCUAUUGAAAUCCCUUAAAGUGAUAGCCAGAAAAGUAAUGCUUUGAAUAGGAAUGCAUGAGCCACAUGUUCUGCAUGAACCUGAGGAUCAUUUCACCUUCUGGCACCUGAGUUCCAUGGCAUAAAUAAGGAGGGUAAAGUUGUUAAUGCCAUAGGAGGCCUGCAAAAAUGAAGGAUCCUGUAUCAUUGCCUCCCCAGGAAAGCAAAAUCGUAUAUAACAGUGAUGUCAGUAUUUUCUGAAUGUCAGAGUUCGAGUUGUUUUUGCAGUGUCCUUCAGGCAGCCUUGAACAUUUUUGUGCACAUGCCAGUGAAUUGUACAUCUGUAGGUGCCUGUCACUGCAAUGCAGAACAAGACACAAUAUGAACUCAUUGUAAAACCUACCAUCCCAGUCCUUGGGCUCCCAGUACUUCAGUCUCUGUAAUUACAGAAUGACACAAUGAAACGUGGAAGAACAGAAACCUGCAAAUCAGACACGCAGAAGUCAAUUCAUUCAGUCAGUUCUGCUGAUGUGGGAAAACAUGAGAGGAAGGCUGAGCCUCCAAACACAGGCAUCAGCAGAACUCAGAGUAUAUGAAGAAUUGCCUUAGACCUAACCCCACUUAGCUCACAUUUCAUGCACUGGGACGCUUUCCAAAAUUAUCUCACCCACUUUCUCCAUCGCAAAGCCUACGCAUGUUUGCUUCCCAGUCUGAAGUGAGAAAGAUCCCAAGCCCUGAGUCUAAUGCCUAGGUAUGAACUCAGGCUGAGCUGGAAAAGAGCCUCCUCUCCAGAUGUCAGUAGCUGUAGUCAAUAACCAAACCCCUUGUGAUACCUGUAUCAGAGCUAAGUAUGUACUGCUAUAAAUAGUAAAUGAGGGAAAUGGAAAGAAAUAUGGGAAAAGCACUAUUUUAGUCAUUGAGGCAAGGGUUCUGUGAAAAUUUAGUUUAUGUUAUGAUCUGCAGGCAUAGGGAGAAGUAAAUGACCAUCCUUCACCCUGAAUAUUACCUGACUUUUAAGUGCUUACAGUUUUAAGUCUAUUAACACCGUGUUUAAUGUGGGAGCUGUAGAGUGGGGGAAGGGGGCAUGCAGCAGUGAAAGAUUGGUAAAAUAUUGAAGUGAGUUGAAGGAAAAGACUGUCAGAAAACUGUAGGGAGUUGUUAUGAUCUCAUUACACUGCAUUAAUGAAGCUAGUGUUGAAUAUGGUGUAUAAACCUGGUGGUUUAUGUUUUUUUUAAAAAAAUAAAAUUGGAAGAUUAGAAAAGAGCCAUGCAAAUUAUUUAAGAGCUGAUAAAUGCAACGUAAUUCCAUUUGUGUCAUGAUGUCAAGAAGAGGCUGAAGCCCACAUGUACAGGAGACAUGUCUGAUAGCAUAGUGAAAGCUUUUAAUAAAAAAAGGAAAAGGAGAUUGAACAAGUGAGGGUGGAAGGUGGAGAUUUAUGCAACAAGGGGAAUGUAAGCAUGUCUCCACAAUGGAAAUUAAACAUUGAAACAAACUUCAUGGAAAUGGGAUAGAUAUCCGGUCCCUCUGUGUCCUUUAAUGAAGCUGAGUAUUUUCCUAUGAGAUGUGCUGUACGUGUAGUUUAUGGUUAAAGUAACAGGUGAAAGUCUCCUGGUGUGCAGGUGUUAUGUAGGU